GGCAGAAGACUACAGCUCCAGUGCUCUGCAGGGAAGAACAGUGUUAACUUCAUAGCUGUGUGUAUCCCAAUCAAACCAAACUGUCCGGGACCAGCCUCCUGAAGUUAAGGAAUCCUUGGCUAGGAGACUACAGUGAAAUUUCGAGGGCUCACAUGGAGUACAGAAAGCCUGUUUCUGGACCAUCAGCUUAGAGGGAUGUCUGCCACCCUGUCGCUGCCCGUUCAUGUCACUGAGGAGAUGGCCACUUUCAAGCAAGAUCCCGGGUCAACAUCACCUCGUCCAUGAAGUCCUCUUCUGCCAUGUUCCAGCAGAAUCCGUCUGUCCUCACGGCCAGCGUGAACACAGUGCCCACCCCACUCAUCUGCAGAUUCCUGAAAACAGGGACCACAUCAUGGCCACCUUCAAGACCCAGCCUCCUGCACAGUGGUAGCAAAUACAUCCUUCCAGCAAACAGAAGGAUCUCAGCA